UACGGGGGGUGCAAGCGUUAAUCGGAAUGACUGGGCGUAAAGGGUGCGUAGGCGGUUUUUUAAGUUAUCUGUGAAAUUCCUGGGCUUAACCUGGGGUGGUCAGAUGAGACUGGGAGACUUGAGUAUGGGAGAGGGCAGUGGAAUUUCCGGUGUAGCGGUGAAAUGCGUAGAGAUCGGAAGGAACACCAGUGGCGAAGGCGGCUGUCUGGCCUAAUACUGACGCUGAGGCACGAAAGCGUGGGGAGCAAACAGG
rnacentral:rRNA from 1 species